AUCAAUGGUAUGUAACAAACAAACAAUGUACAAUACAGUUAAGACAUACUUAAUAUGCGAUUCGAGCAGUGUCACAAAGAGUCGCAUGUAAUACUUGCAUCCAAUGAACAAUAACAAAUUUAGUAAUAUACAAUACAAUGCAUGUCACAGUAAUGUAUAUAAUCAACCUGAAUAAAGGCAACCCAUCCAACAAUCACAUAUGAUGAUUUUGCAUUCAGGCAAUCCCAAAAAGGCCUUUU
rnacentral:lncRNA from 1 species